AGGACGAACGCUGGCGGCGUGCCUAACACAUGCAAGUCGAACGGGGCCCGCAAGGGUUCAGUGGCGAACGGGUGCGUAACACGUGAAGAACUUGUCCAUCGGCGGGGGAUAGCCGGCCCAACGGCCGGGUAAUACCGCGUACGUUCUUCGAGGGGCAUCCCUUGAAGAGGAAAGCAGCAAUGCACCGAUGGAGAGCUUCGCGGCCUAUCAGCUUGUUGGCGGGGUAAUGGCCCACCAAGGCAACGACGGGUAGCUGGUCUGAGAGGAUGAUCAGCCACAUUGGGACUGAGACACGGCCCAGACUCCUACGGGAGGCAGCAGUGGGGAAUAUUGCGCAAUGGGCGAAAGCCUGACGCAGCGACGCCGCGUGUGGGAUGACGGCCUUCGGUUGUAACCGACUGUCGCGAGGGACGAAAAAAAGUGACGGUACCGUCGAAAGGAAGCGACCGGCUAACUCUGCGCAGCAGCCGC
rnacentral:rRNA from 1 species